GUAGGGAAUAUUGGGCAAUGGUCGGAAGACUGACCCAGCCAUGCCGCGUGCAGGAAGACGGCCCUCUGGGUUGUAAACUGCUUUUAUCUGGGAAGAAAAAGGCCAUGCGUGGCAAAUUGCCGGUACCAGAUGAAUAAGCACCGGCUAACUCCGUGCCAGCAGCCGCGGUAAUACGGAGGGUGCGAGCGUUGUCCGGAUUUAUUGGGUUUAAAGGGUGCGUAGGCGGCUGAUUAAGUCAGCGGUGAAAGACUUCGGCUUAACCGGAGCAGUGCCGUUGAUACUGGUUGGCUUGAGUGUCGGAGGGGUACAUGGAAUUGAUGGUGUAGCGGUGAAAUGCAUAGAUACCAUCAGGAACACCGAUAGCGAAGGCAUUGUACUGGCCGACAACUGACGCUGAUGCACGAAAGUGUGGGGAUCGAACAGGAUUAGAAACCCUGGUAGUCC
rnacentral:rRNA from 1 species